UACGGGAGGCAGCAGUGGGGAAUAUUGCACAAUGGGCGCAAGCCUGAUGCAGCCAUGCCGCGUGUAUGAAGAAGGCCUUCGGGUUGUAAAGUACUUUCAGUCGUGAGGAAGGUGUUAAGGUUAAUAACCUUAGCAAUUGACGUUAGCGACAGAAGAAGCACCGGCUAACUCCGUGCCAGCAGCCGCGGUAAUACGGAGGGUGCGAGCGUUAAUCGGAAUUACUGGGCGUAAAGGGCACGCAGGCGGUUAAUUAAGUUGGAUGUGAAAUCCCCGGGCUUAACCUGGGAAUGGCAUUCAAGACUGGUUAGCUAGAGUCUUGUAGAGGGGGUAGAAUUCCAUGUGUAGCGGUGAAAUGCGUAGAGAUGUGGAGGAAAUACCGGUGGCGAAAGGCGGCCCCUGGACAAAAGACUGACGCUCAUGUGCGAAAAGCGUGGGGAGCAAACAGGGAUUAGAUACC
rnacentral:rRNA from 1 species